rnacentral:rRNA from 1 species
UACGUAGGGGCCUAGCGUUGUCCGGAAUUAUUGGGCGUAAAGAGCUCGUAGGCGGUUCGGCAAGUCGGAUGUGAAAUCUCCACGCUCAACGUGGAGGGGCCAUUCGAAACUGCCGUGACUCGAGUCCGGUAGGGGAGUGUGGAAUUCCCGGUGUAGCGGUGAAAUUCGUAGAUAUUCGCAAGAACACCAGUGGCGAAGGCGGC